rnacentral:rRNA from 1 species
AACGUAGGACACAAACGUUAUCCGGAGUUACUGGGCGUAAAGGGCGUGUAGGCGGAUCGGUAAGUCUACUCUGAAAGCUCCUGGCUAAACUGGGAGAGGCGAGUGGAGACUGUCGGUCUAGAGUGAGGAAGAGGAAAGUGGAAUUCCGCGUGUAGUGGUGAAAUGCGUAGAUAUUGGGAGGAACACCAGUGGCGAAGGCGGCUCACUGGACCGGUACUGACGCUGAGGCGCGAAAGCGUGGGGAGCAAACAGG